rnacentral:misc_RNA from 1 species
CAACCCUUAAGCCUAGCUUAGUGUUGGGAAUCUGUCCGCAAGGACAGUUCCUCAAAUCCAACGGCGGAUCUGUGGUAUCCUCUGAGCGUAGUAAAUCUUUAUCUCGCUUUCGUCAGGUGCCGCUGCUCUCAGCCGCCUAAACCCCCAAUUUUUUUGUGG